UACGGAGGGUGCAAGCGUUAUCCGGAUUCACUGGGUUUAAAGGGUGCGUAGGCGGCCUUAUAAGUCAGUGGUGAAAGCUCUCAGCUUAACUGGGAAACUGCCAUUGAAACUGUUUGGCUUGAGUACAAUUGAAGUGGGCGGAAUACAUCAUGUAGCGGUGAAAUGCUUAGAUAUGAUGUAGAACACCGAUUGCGAAGGCAGCUCACUAAAUUGCAACUGACGCUGAGGCACGAAAGCGUGGGUAGCGAACAGGAUUAGAAACCCCCGUAGUCC
rnacentral:rRNA from 1 species